AGGGAAAAUAGUGAGAGAGAAAGAGAGAGAGUGUUAGUGAGAGCGGGCGAGGGAGAGAGAGUGUGUAUGCACCCUUCAUCCCCUAUUUGGGGGAUGAAGAGAGGGAAAGCGUCAGUACGCAGCAUCCGUGGAGGCUAUUCGGUUCCGUCGCUUGGAAGGGUGGCGUUGGCUGUAUCUUGCGUUGGUCCACCCAGCAGCAUUUACAUACCCUCGCUCUGCUCUGCUGCACAACCUGUUAAUACUCUCCACAUCUCUUCAACCAAACAUCUCCAAUCAACUUAACUCACACCGAAUCUCCUCCAGAUCCACGAAUUCUUCCCAAAUCAAGAUGAUGGGAUGCCAGGUUACAAAGCAGACUUUCAUCAACUGUCAGUGGUCAAUCUCCCACAUUCGUUUGCUGAGGGUGGUAGCGGAACAAGCUGGAAACUGGAUGAAUCUGAUAAACCUAAUGUUCUGUGUAAGUUGAUCUUUCACACUCGGAUUGCAGAUUGCCAAGAAGGAUCAGAGUUGAUGAAGAACAUGUGGAGUCAAAAGUAGGAAUGAUAUUCAUAGACCAAAGGUGGAAUUUAAUAAUCUCAAUCAUAUAAAAAGGUUGGGCUUUGAUGGUGUAAUGGUAAGUAAUUACUACAGCGAGGGGUAUAGGUGAGUCUGAUUUCCAACCAUAUAACUAGAAGUUUUAUAUUUUUUCAAGCCGGUCAUCAACUUGAUUUCAAGCUAGUCAUAGAGGAGGCUUAUCAAGAAACAUCCUGAAUUUCGGUCCCAUAUUCAAGUCAUUUGGAUAGCUUGAGUCAUUCUCAUUGGAAGAAAUCAAGUGCUGACAAUAACUUCUCUAAGACUUAUCUCACCAGUUAUCUCAAGUCUUGAAUUUAUUAGAACUGUAUCAUAUCCAUGUUGAGGUGGGCCUACUCCAAAAUUACUAGAUUUGCUUAGUAAUUUUGAGUACUCUAGUAUCUUUGGUAUCUAAAAUUAAUUGAAUGAAUGAGACGUUGAUGUUGUCAAUACCACUAUAUUUGUUCGAAAUCAACUAGAUUAUAUUAGGCCCACAUAGAUUAUAUCAUAUUAAAUUAUUUCUGAACAAAUAUAGUGAUAAUGACAACAUCAACGUCUCAUUCUUUCAGUUAUGGAGAAGAACCACAACAUCUCUCGCUAUACAAUUGACUACGGUAAUAAAUUCUUUGGUAACUGUCACUGUACAUGCCAACAUGACUAUUCAAAAGUAGGUUUCUUGUACCUACUAUUCAUUUAGUUCUUCUACCGUAAUUCCAGCAGUGAUAUUCCAACGAACUUACUCGUUGUAUAGCCAUUAUUGCUUAUGGCUAUAAGUCAAAUAUAGACUACUAAACAAUUUACUGAACAAACACCUGCUGUGAUAUUCCAACGAACUUACUCGUUGUAUAGUCAUUACUGCUUUUAGGAUGACUAGUUUCUAAUUGUGCAUUAUGAGUUCUAAAUCUUCAAUCUUAUGUGUGAAAUCACUUCAAUCUCAAAAAAUGUUGAAAGAGACUUACUAUAAUUUAAAAAUGGAAUCUGUAUUCAUAAAAUAUGUGAUCGAAGAAGCCUGAUUUGAUAUUAUCAGGUACUCAAUUCUCUAGAUUUAUUUCACUCAUCAUCUCUAUAAUUUUUUUUAUAAUUAUUCAUAGAGCAAAUCCUCCAAAUAUUCCUGCAAUGACUCCGCGCGUAUUCAUGGAAUAAAUUUUCCUUUUCCAGGAAAACUCAACCCUGACACUGAUUUGCAGCUGAGAAGAUAUUCUUGAACCAAGGAUUAAUUAACAUAAGUUUGCAGCCCGUACGGUGAUCUGGAAAUCGUGAUGUGAUCUGGCAGUUUAAUAAAUCAUCCAGUCUGCGUAUACAAUCAGAGAUAUUGAAUAAGUCAAACACAAGUCAGGCACAUUCGUGAUCUACCCUGUAGAUCCGGGCUUAUGUAGAUAAUUGUCAGAAGCUCGUCUCUACAGGUAUCUUACGGAUGGAAGACAACGCAGCCACUGCAAGAGUGUUUGACUUAUUUCCCAAGUGAACGCGACCACAGAUCUCAAACAACAUCGUCAUUUUUCGAUUCUACUCUCAACGUUCAACAACCGCUGGUUUGAGUAAGAAUUUAAAUUAGCAAUAAGGGUUUAAUUAGUCUUGUAAUUUAUGAGGGUAUGAAUUAAUAAUUGUCUCAUCAAAGGGUUAUAAAUUAGUCAAAUAAUUUAUAAGGGUAUGAGUCAAUGCUGGUAUGAGCAAAGGUGAACGCACAAAGCGACAGACGGACGUAUACAGACAGACGGAAGCAAAGUCCCUUCCCAGGUGAUCGAAUGUUGCAAUCCACACAGACGUCCGUUUGUAACAAUAUGUCUGCUCACGUCUGCAAGGAGAAGUUUAUUUUUUUAUAUUCUCAUCUCAUUCUCUUAUUUUCCUCACACGUUUUUCUGUUGCUGUGUGCGUUCGCCUAGAGGGUACAAAUAAAUACUUAUUGUAAAAUUUAUUCACAAUUAAUCAUAACUAUUUUGGAGAGUUGAGAAUGAAACUCAAUAGAUUAGAACACAAUAAAAAUUAUACUCAGUUUUUGUCAAACUAGUCACCCAAGUGAACCUACGAUUUUACGCAAUGCCUACGGCCAUUUCUCAAGCUAAAACAAAAAAGAUUGUCUAUAGUAAAUUAAUUGUUUAUGAUUGGAAGUGCACAUGUCCAUUUUUUCACAAAUCACAAUUUAUUUCUUUAUAAGUUGACGAUUUAAAAAUUUAACUCCAUAACGUGUUUUCUAAUAUCUGUAUUCAUCAAUAAAUACUUAUAUAAGUGAUGGAAUUUGAACAAUGUGAAUAAAAACUAUUUUUGCAUUGGUGAAAAAUUUAUAUUCAUAGACAUGUGCACUUCCAAUCCUAAACAAUUCAAAUAUAUCUAUGUAUUUUCUUGUAAUUUAUCAUUUGGUUAGAAUUAUAAGCAUGAUAAGCAGGAGACAUCUCGUGAAUUAAACGAUAGUUACCAUUUUUGAAUGGUUCAAUUCUAUAAGAAUUCCUCUAUAAGAGUUCAACCCUUAUAAAAUUAAUGAAAAGUCGGUAACUAGGGUGGUUACAAAGGUUCUUUACGAAACAUGCAGUGGAAUACAUUUUCAAAGUUGAGAGAAAAUCAAAUUGAUCAUUGAAGAAAUAAAAUAACGAUUAUUAAUUCCAUUUGCAGAUAAAAGGGGUGGAAUCAGAUUCAAAUUUUACAAAUCUUAACUCUAGGCUCAAAAUUAAUUCUGGUUUUUCACACAAAAUAUGCGAAUUCAUUCAGUUAUAACCCCACCAAUCCAAAUCCAUGGAACAUUUUUUUCACCUCCACAAUAAAAUUCUUCAACAUCACCAGUAGGCCUAAUUGGAUAUACCUCAUCAAUGAAAUAUUCAAAUUCACUUGAAUGUAAAAUCAAAUAAAUCAACUUGAAAAAUACUAUCUCCAAGCAUGUCCUAUGACAUUUAAAAUAUCCCAAUUCAAGCAUAAUUAUUAUCAAUUAAUUACUGUAUUGAUUUCAUUCAUUCACUGGAUCAAUUGGGAGAAUAAUUUAUCCAGCGUCUAUUUUGAGUGACACUGUUGAUCGAUUCAAGAAAAACUAAUAGGUGACUAAUAGAUUCUAUUGAAGAAUUGAAGGGAAAUAGCAAUUAGAGAACAUAAUUUUAUUAGUUAAUUACUUUCUGAAGAACCUAGUUGUAAUAUAGUGAGAAUGACUUGCAAGUCGGUGCUAGGAACUUUGGGACCAACACUUUUUGGGACUAAAAGGUACAGACAUAAGAGAGGAUGGGUCUUCACAAGCAGAAUCAGGAAUCAGUAGUCUCCAACAGGUGGUUGGACAUUGCUCUUUAACACAAAGGCGUUGGACACAUAUUUAUUCAGAUUUUAAAGUAGAAUCAUUAUUUCCGCUGCUUAAUCAGGAAAAUAUAAAUUUCUAGUUAUAGUCAAUAAACUUGAAUCUAACAUGUUGGAAGAGAGGCCUUCUGAAGAUUUCUGUAAUAAAAAUGGAUUGUUUAUCAACUCAGUACACUAGUAUACAGAACUAUUUCUAAAAAUUGAUGUAUGAAUAGUUUUCAUUCAGUAACAGAAUUGGUGAAAGAUCCGAUCAUUGUUUGCUACUCACCUCGCAGACUUGAUCUCAAAAAUCCUCUUUUUCCUAGCUGGUCUCAAAGUUCCGGUUCAAAAGCAUUGGAAAUCAUAGGAAGGGGUUAAGUUCCCUUUUUUCCACUGCCCUCUGCAGUAUAUAGCUGUAAUUCAAGUCAUCCCGGUUUAUCUGAUCUAAUUUCAAUUGUUGAUUAUUGCUGAUAAUAAUCAUAUCUAUCUCAUAUAUAUUGUAUUCAUCAAGAUAAUAAUAUCUUUCCAUGAUUUAAUAAUAGAUUAUUUCAAUUGAGAUAUCAUCUUUCGUCACUUUAUUAUAUUUCUACGAACCCUACAAAACAUUCCGGCAAUUUGGCAACGGUGCGUUGUUCGAAAAGGAAAGAGCUAUGGCAGCUAUCUGCUCUGUCUAAUGACAGACAAGGAUAGCAAUGUCAAUCAGAUGCUGACCAUAAAACGUGAAUCCCACUAUAGGAUCAUCACUAGUUCUAGGGAAACCUGAUAAAUUCUUCUCAGACUCAAUCCACAAAAAUUGGUCAAAUUUGUCAACUGUAGCUCUAGCAAUAAUAUUUGUCAACACUAAUGAGUUUGAAACAGGGUCAUGUGAAUUUAAAAAUGUCAUGUUGUAUCAGAUAAGUAAUGUACUUUUACUUGUCUUAGCUUAUAUUUCUACAUUUUCAUUAUAACUUACUAAUCUGGAUUACCAUUAGAUGGAAAAUUUGUAACAUUUGUAACAUGUGAUCAUGGUUCUAACCAUGUAUUUGAGAGGCUUUGAGCAAUGUUGCUCACUACUAAAACUAUCAUUCUGAUAUUUCAAGUUAAUGCAGUUGAUACUCAUUUUGUUAUGAAUUAUUAAGUGUGUUAGUCAUCCACAAGGUCUAUAGAAACCUAUUUAUAGACCUUGGUCAUCCAGAGUAUGUAUGCUGCUACCUAUUGGAGGAGUUUCAAGAUUCAAGAUCCAAGAUUCUUUAAUGCUAGACCAACUUUAGAUUGUAUAAGCACAUCAAAUUAAUAAGCAAUAAUAUCUAACACUUGUGAAAUAAAAGAGAAUUGAAUAAGCAUAUAAUAAUAGAAAUCAUAUUAUAUAUGAAAAUAUUAAAACCAUCACAAAAAUUCAUUACAAUCUGUCAGCCAAUCAGGAGAGAGUAGGCGGAGUUGGGAACAUUACCCAGCAUCUGCUGCUGUCUACUGUCUGAAUUCCGAGUUAGAUUACAAAUUGUUGACCAAUCAGGAAAGAGUCGAGUUGAAACUAAUUCAAUUUGUAAUAAAUUUUAUCACUUUUGAAAUCUCGAUUGAUGAGUGAAAACAUCAAAACUGUUGAAAACGUAUGUGGUGUUAAGGUGCGUAGAGUCUUAGGGCGAGUUCAUGAAAAGAACAUGCGUUGCUCAAGACUUUUUAAGCUGCGUUUACACCAAAGUUAUCAACACCUUAUUAAUUUUUCCGUCCUUAUAGAUUCUAUUAGAUUAACAUAAAUUAUCAUGAAAUAAAUACACAUGAUAAACAUAGGUCUAUGUGUUUUUCAAGUUCCGUUCAAUCUAAUAGAAUCUAUAAGGACGGAAAAAUAAACAUUUUGUUAAUAACUUUGGUGUAAACGCAGCUUUACAGUUUUGGCGUGUUCAUGCCAAGAGCAUGCGUAUUCCACUUUCCAUCAGUUGAUACUAUUCUUAUCAUAUCUGUAUUUGAACAGAAACAGUGAGAUACAGAUAUAAUAAGCAUCAGUCGAUGGAUAGUGAAACACGCGUGUUCGUAGCGCAUAAGUCUAUAUGCACCUUUUGAAAAACAGCACACUAUCCUGAUAAAAUUAUUGUUAUCAAUAUUUUUUGUAAGGCUGUUCGUAGAAAAUUCUACAUUAUUUAUAAUACACUGUAUCUGAAUGUACACGUAUUGAUACACUUAUAUUAUCAACACACAUUGUUCUGUAUAGUGCUGACCGUUUGUAUCCAAUGAAGCUCCAGUCUAUCCUAAAUUCUAUUCAUGUUCAAUAAUUAUUAUCCAUUGUAAUAAUAUUAUCAUGACCAGGAAAACGUUAGGCUAUAAGUGAAGAAUUUUCUUCAUAACAGUUGAUUGAAUAAAAUGGUCGUUCCAGAUUUUGAAUGAUAAAAAUAGGUACAUCAUUAAACAAAAAUGAAAAUGAUACUGAAGCUGAGAGAUCUGACUGAGUAACAGUUCCAUUGAUUUAAAAUUAUAUUAAUUUGAUGUAUCAAGUUAAAAUCGUCUAAAGCUAGACGCUGAUUGUUACUGUUCAUUUGUGUUGUUGAUUGAAAAGCAUGUUUUCUAUAAGCCUCGUAUGUAACUAAUAUUAUUGAAUGAAAAAGACUAAGAAAUUGUCAAAAAUUCAAAUGUCAUAUUUCAUUCAAUAUGAAUAAUUAUCACAAUAUCAACUUCUCAACUACACAAAAAGUAACUCAUAUUAAGUUCCUGAAAUUGGGAAGCAUUUCAACUCUAGGAUAUUAGUAUUUAAGAAUUUCUGGAUUUGUAAGAGUUCUUUGGGAACAUAAACGUUGAUGUUGUCCAAUAAAAAAAAAUUAUCCAGCUUAUGUGACCUAGAGUAGCAUGUAGCCUAUGUAGCCUACUCCAGCCUAUUUAGGCUAAUAGUAUUUAAAAUUCUCUGGAUUUGUAAGAGUUCUUUGUGAAACAAGUGAACAUAAACGUUGA